rnacentral:rRNA from 1 species
AAUUCGAUGCAACGCGAAGAACCUUACCUGGCUUGACAUCCCGGGAAUCCCUUGGAAACAAGGGAGUGCCCUUCGGGAACUGGAGACAGGUGCUGCAUGGCUGUCGUCAGCUCGUGUCGUGAGAUGUAGGGUUAAGUCCCGCAACGAGCGCAACCCUCGUGCUAUGUUGAUUUCUCAUAGCAGACUGCCUUGUACAGCAAGGAGGAAGGUGGGAUGACGUCAAGUCAGCAUGGCCUUUAUGCCCUGGGCUACACACACGCUACAAUGGGUGGGAACAGAGGGUUGCCACGAAGCAAUUCGGAGCGAAUCCCUUAAAACCAUCCUCAGUUCGGAUUGCAGGCUGCAAUCGCCUGCAUGAAGCCGGAGCUGCUAGUAACCGCAGGUCAGCUAUACUGCGGUGAAUACGUUCUCGGGCCUU